GGGCUAUGCAAUUGCUGUGCGGUAAACCCCGCCAGGUUCGGAAGAAAGCAACGGUAGCUGUUUCAGCAGUGUGCCGUAGUUUCU
rnacentral:SRP_RNA from 1 species